rnacentral:rRNA from 1 species
CUACGGGGUGCUGCAGUGAGGAAUAUUGCACAAUGGGGGGAACCCUGAUGCAGCAACGCCGCGUGGAGGAUGACGCAUUUCGGUGUGUAAACUCCUUUUAUAUGUCAAGAAAAUGACGGUAGCAUAUGAAUAAGCACCGGCUAACUCCGUGCCAGCAGCCGCGGUAAUACGGAGGGUGCAAGCGUUACUCGGAAUCACUGGGCGUAAAGGACGCGUAGGCGGGCUUGUAAGUCAGGUGUGAAAUCCUACAGCUUAACUGUAGAACUGCACUUGAAACUACGAGCCUAGAGUAUGGGAGGGGGAGAUGGAAUUAGCGGUGUAGGGGUAAAAUCCGUAGAUAUCACUAGGAAUACCGAAAGCGAAGGCGAUCUCCUGGAACAUAACUGACGCUAAGGCGUGAAAGCGUGGGGAGCAAACAGGAUUAGAUACCCCUGUAGUC